rnacentral:rRNA from 1 species
GACAGAGGGGGCAAGCGUUGCUCGGAAUCACUGGGCGUAAAGGGUGCGUAGGCGGCGCGGUAAGUCGGGUGUGAAAUCUUGGAGCUUAACUCCGAAACUGCAUUCGAUACUGCCGUGCUUGAGGACUGGAGAGGAGACUGGAAUUUACGGUGUAGCGGUGAAAUGCGCAGAUAUCGGGAAGAACACCCGUGGCGAAGGCGGCUCUCUGGGACGGUACUGACGCUGAGACGCGAAAGCGUGGGGAGCGAACAGG